ACCCGAUGGUCUGCCGGGGGCGCAUGUUCCUGGUAGUAAAUGGGCGGGAUCCUUUGGGAUCGCCUGCUCGCAGAGGUGGUUGCGGCCCAUCAGCUAGUUGGUAGGGUAAUGGCCUACCAAGGCAACGACGGGUAGCCGGCCUUAGAGGGUGGUCGGCCGCACUGGGACUGAGACACUGCCCAGACUCCUACGGGAGGCUGCAGUCGAGAAUCUUCCGCAAUGGGCGAAAGCCUGACGGAGCGACGCCGCGUGGAGGACGAAGGCCUUCGGGUUGUAAACUCCUGUCACGAGUUAAGAAGGUCGGCCUACGAAUAGUGGGUCGAUUUGACGUAAGCUCGAGAGGAAGCACUGGCUAACUCUGUGCCAGCAGCCGCGGUAAUACAGAGAGUGCAAACGUUGUUCGGAAUUACUGGGCUUAAAGCGCACGUAGGCGGCGUCGUAAGUGUCAAGUGAAAUCCCACGGCUCACCCGUGGAACUGCCUGGCAUACUGCGAUGCUUG
rnacentral:rRNA from 1 species